rnacentral:tRNA from 1 species
GCCUCCAUAGCUCAGUGGCUAGAGCACUGGUCUUGUAAACCAGGGGUCGGGAGUUCGAUCCUCUCUGGGGGCU